rnacentral:lncRNA from 1 species
UACAUCCAAAAGGAAUAAAUGGCUCUAGUUUCUAAGUUUGUUUCAGUUAUAAUUAUAUUUAUUUUCAUAAUUCUCCUUGCACUGAAUAUUGAAGGUACUUAUUUUUUAUUAUUAAUAAACUUCUUUCUUUAAUUCGUACAUUAUAUUUCAUCAUAUAUUAUUUAAGUUGUUUUAUUCUCUUUUUUACAGCGACUAGAUAUAAAUGUACAGAAGAUUCUGAUUUUAUAGGUCGUCUUGUUCGUUUUUCAAAAUCUUUAAAGUAGUUUGUAUUAAUAAACGGUGUCUACGUGUUAAAGUCAUCAUAGCUUAAAUUUCGGAAUGAUUUUUUAUUUAGUUUCAUAAUUAAGAUUUAUAUACGCUGAAAUAUUUCAGAAAUUGUCAUUUAAUAUUUGUAUUUCUAUGUAAUAAUUUAAAUAUAAUAAUACAUUGUCAUACUUCUAAGCAUAUUAGAAUGAUAUUACUCUUUUAAAAUAUUAAGAAAGGAA